GGAAUGGUUCAAGUGUUAUGUGGACCCAAGACUAGACGGCAUGACAUGGGAGGAAUUUGCGAAUGAGUUCGCUGGAUGGGCUUUUCCAGACAGUUCUAGGGAACUGAAGAUGAUUGAGUUCGAACAGCUAAGGCAGACAGAACACAUGAGUGUAGAGGAGUUCACGGAUAAAUUCUUGGAGCUAUUGCCUUUUUCAGGGCAAGCUCUAGAUACAGAUUCGAAGAAAGCCAAGAGAUAUGUUAUGAAGCUGCAUUCUAGGUACUCCUCUUUGAUUCAGUCAGUUGAGACGGAAAG
rnacentral:lncRNA from 1 species